rnacentral:rRNA from 1 species
AUUGAACGCUGGCGGCAGGCCUAACACAUGCAAGUCGAACGGUAACAGGAAACAGCUUGCUGUUUCGCUGACGAGUGGCGGACGGGUGAGUAAUGUCUGGGAAACUGCCUGAUGGAGGGGGAUAACUACUGGAAACGGUAGCUAAUACCGCAUAACGUCGCAAGACCAAAGAGGGGGACCUUCGGGCCUCUUGCCAUCGGAUGUGCCCAGAUGGGAUUAGCUAGUAGGUGGGGUAACGGCUCACCUAGGCGACGAUCCCUAGCUGGUCUGAGAGGAUGACCAGCCACACUGGAACUGAGACACGGUCCAGACUCCUACGGGAGGCAGCAGUGGGGAAUAUUGCACAAUGGGCGCAAGCCUGAUGCAGCCAUGCCGCGUGUAUGAAGAAGGCCUUCGGGUUGUAAAGUACUUUCAGCGGGGAGGAAGGGAGUAAAGUUAAUACCUUUGCUCAUUGACGUUACCCGCAGAAGAAGCACCGGCUAACUCCGUGCCAGCAGCCGCGGUAAUACGGAGGGUGCAAGCGUUAAUCGGAAUUACUGGGCGUAAAGCGCACGCAGGCGGUUUGUUAAGUCAGAUGUGAAAUCCCCGGGCUCAACCUGGGAACUGCAUCUGAUACUGGCAAGCUUGAGUCUCGUAGAGGGGGGUAGAAUUCCAGGUGUAGCGGUGAAAUGCGUAGAGAUCUGGAGGAAUACCGGUGGCGAAGGCGGCCCCCUGGACGAAGACUGACGCUCAGGUGGGAAAGCGUGGGGGAGCAAACAGGAUUAGAUACCCUGGUAGUUCACGCUGUAAACGAUGUCGACUUGGAGGUUGUGCCCUUGAGGCGUGGCUUCCGGAGCUAACGCGUUAAGUCGACCGCCUGGGGAGUACGGCCGCAAGGUUAAAACUCAAAUGAAUUGACGGGGGCCCGCACAAGCGGUGGAGCAUGUGGUUUAAUUCGAUGCAACGCGAAGAACCUUACCUGGUCUUGACAUCCACGGAAGUUUUCAGAGAUGAGAAUGUGCCUUCGGGAACCGUGAGACAGGUGCUGCAUGGCUGUCGUCAGCUCGUGUUGUGAAAUGUUGGGUUAAGUCCCGCAACGAGCGCAACCCUUAUCCUUUGUUGCCAGCGGUCCGGCCGGGAACUCAAAGGAGACUGCCAGUGAUAAACUGGAGGAAGGUGGGGAUGACGUCAAGUCAUCAUGGCCCUUACGACCAGGGCUACACACGUGCUACAAUGGCGCAUACAAAGAGAAGCGACCUCGCGAGAGCAAGCGGACCUCAUAAAGUGCGUCGUAGUCCGGAUUGGAGUCUGCAACUCGACUCCAUGAAGUCGGAAUCGCUAGUAAUCGUGGAUCAGAAUGCCACGGUGAAUACGUUCCCGGGCCUUGUACACACCGCCCGUCACACCAUGGGAGUGGGUUGCAAAAGAAGUAGGUAGCUUAACCUUCGGGAGGGCGCUUACCACUUUGUGAUU